rnacentral:rRNA from 1 species
GUUGUAUGGUUAAGCGACCAAGCGUAUACGGUGGAUGCCUUGGCAGUCAGAGGCGAUGAAGGACGUAGUAACUUGCGAAAAGCGUUGGUGAGCUAGUAACAAGCAUUUGAGCCAGCGAUGUCCGAAUGGGGAAACCCGGCACCAUAAGGUGUCAUCAAUACGUGAAUACAUAGCGUAUUGAGGCGAACGAGGGGAACUGAAACAUCUAAGUACCCUCAGGAAAAGAAAUCAACCGAGAUUCCCCAAGUAGCGGCGAGCGAACGGGGAUUAGCCCUUAAGUCUUUGGGGUGUUAGUGGAAUGUGUUGGAAAGCACAGCGGCACAGGGUGAUAGCCCCGUACAUGUAAACUAACCAGAGAUGAAAACGAGUAAGGCGGCACACGUGACAUGUUGUCUGAAUAUGGGGGGACCAUCCUCCAAGGCUAAAUACUCCUGACUGACCGAUAGUGAACCAGUACCGUGAGGGAAAGGCGAAAAGAACCCCUGUGAGGGGAGUGAAAUAGAACCUGAAACCGUAUACGUACAAGCAGUGGAAGCGGUUCUUGAGACCGUGACUGCGUACCUUUUGUAUAAUGGGUCAGCGACUUACAUUUAGUAGCGAGGUUAAGCGAAUAGCGGAGCCGUAGGGAAACCGAGUGUUAACUGCGCGUUUAGUUGCUAGGUGUAGACCCGAAACCCGGUGAUCUAGCCAUGGGCAGGUUGAAGGUUGAGUAACAUCAACUGGAGGACCGAACCGACUAAUGUUGAAAAAUUAGCGGAUGACUUGUGGCUGGGGGUGAAAGGCCAAUCAAACCGGGAGAUAUCUGGUUCUCCUCGAAAGCUAUUUAGGUAGCGCCUCGGACGAACACCUUUGGGGGUAGAGCACUGUUAAGGCUAGGGGGUCAUCCCGACUUACCAACCCUUUGCAAACUCCGAAUACCAAAGAGUGCUAUCCGGGAGACAGACGGCGGGUGCUAACGUCCGUCGUCAAAAGGGAAACAACCCAGACCGUCAGCUAAGGUCCCAAAGUAAUUGCUAAGUGGGAAACGAUGUGGGAAGGCUUAGACAGCUAGGAUGUUGGCUUAGAAGCAGCCAUCAUUUAAAGAAAGCGUAAUAGCUCACUAGUCGAGUCGGCCUGCGCGGAAGAUGUAACGGGGCUAAGCAAUUCACCGAAGCUACGGGUA